ACUUAAUCGUAGAAUUUCAUCUCGGUAAACUUAAAUGACGAAUUCAGCCGGUAAAACAUAUUUUUACCGAAAUCUCGUUCAAUUUUGACAGAUGAGCGAUAUUGACAGAUGCAAAUUGACGAAAAUCGGUAGUUUGCAUAAAUAACUGAGACUCGGUAAUCUAUUUUACCAAAACAAUCAGCAAACAAAUACUUUUACUGAAUUUCGGCAAAGUGCAUCUGUCAACGCCGAAAAAUCAGAGCUGCAGAAACCAACAUGAGCUCGAAAUGUUUUAAAACGUUCGUGGAAAGAGGGAAAGCGCCUACAUGAAUAUUCCCCGGGAAGUGCUUGAAACAAUCGAAGUGCAGCGAAAGUGGUUGUGCUGCUAUCAUUUGUUUCAAAAAGAAAAGCA